rnacentral:rRNA from 1 species
AUGGCGGCCACGACGGCGAGUCUGGCGGGUUUGGCGACGGUGGCCCAGCUGGCUUUGUACGUCCACGGGCUGGUCACGAAGAUCACCGGGGCGGCGGAGACUGCCCGGCAGAACAAGCUGGAGUGCAAGAAUCUCGCGAGCCGCGUAUCCGUGAUCGGCGACCUGCUGCUGCAGCUGCAGGACCCGGCGGUGGCGCAGCCGCUGGCCGGGCUGGGCCACACGCUCCAGGAGGCGCACGAUCUCGUCGUCGCUUGCCAGAAAUGGAGCGCGCGCAGGAAGUUCUUGUACGCCGACGACCAGGCAGAGAGGUUCAGGGAAGUCAACCGCAGGAUCGACUCCCACCUCAUCCUCAUCCCCUUGCUCAGCCAUAUCUCCAUUACCCGCCGCCUCGACCAGAUCUGUCCUCCGAAUCCCACCAGCGUUCUUUUACCAGUAGCGCCAACAAUGGUUGUUGGAUGUGCUUCUGCGCAGCUGCAGGAGCCUGCGAUGGUCCAGUAUGCAACUGUGGAGUUCGCGUCGGCGGAGAUCGCGGUCUUGACCGGAAACUUCGGCCAUGUGCUCAGCGAGGACGUCUCCGGAACGGUGUACAAGGGUCGUCUUCACGACGGCCUGGAGGUGGCGGUGAAGAGCCUGAAGAAUCACGGGCAGCAACGCCACGAACAAGAGGGUGCCUUCGUGGCGGAGCUCGAGACCCUCUGCCACCUCCGUCGCGACCACGUCGUGCACCUCGUGGGCUGGUGCGCGGAGGACGACGAUCGCAUGUUCGUCUACCAGUACCAGCACACGAGCAACGGCACGCUCAGGGACCACCUGCAGGGCGGCGGCUUUGCGUCGCCCGUGACGUCGUCCUGGAAGGCGCGUGUCCUGGCGCUGCUGGGCGCGUCCAGGGCCAUCGACCACCUGCACCGCGUGGCCACUCCGCGGAUCAUCCACCGCAACGUCAGCUCGUCGAGCAUCCUUCUGGACGAGAGCUGGGCGGCCCGCGUGUCCGGCUUCAGCGCGGCGGUUUUGCAAGAGCCGACGACCGACGGCCAGCUCGUCGGGGAGGUCGCCGGCACGUUGGGGUACAUCGAUCCGGAGUACCACCGCACGCGGCGUGUGAGUCCGGCGAGCGACGUGUACAGCUUUGGCGUCGUCAUGCUGGAGUUGCUGACCGGUAGGCCGCCUAGCUGGGAGAGCAAGGACCCGAACACCUUGGUUGGCUUUGCUGCCCCGAUCAUCGAGAGGGGGGACCUGGGGUCUGUGCUGGACCGGCGCCCGUCGCCGGCGCCGACCCCGGGGCAGAUGGAGGCGCUGAAGCUCGUGGCCUACACGGCAGCACGCUGUCUGUGGCCACAGCCACAGGACCGCCCCGCCAUGUCAAACGUGGUGACCAACCUCGAGGCGGCGCUCGGGCUCAUAGACAGCGAUGAGCCUAAGCAAAGCUAUUAG